rnacentral:rRNA from 1 species
AUUGAACGCUGGCGGCAGGCCUAACCCAUGCAAGUCGAACGAGUGGCGGACGGGUGAGUAAUGUCUGUGAAACUGCCUGAUGGAGGGGGAUAACUACUGGAAUCGGUUGCUAAUACCGCAUAUUAUUAGUUGUGCCUAGAUGGGAUUAGCUUGUUGGUGGGGUAACGGUUCACCAAGGCGACGAUCUCUAGCUGGUGUGAGAGGAUGAUCAUCCACACUGGAACUGAGACACGGUCCAGACUCCUACGGGAGGCAGCAGUGGGGAAUAUUGCACAAUGGGCGCAAGCCUGAUGCAGCCAUGCCGCGUGUAUGAAGAAGGCCUUCGGGUUUUAAAGUACUUUCAGCAGGGAGGCGUUACCCACAGAAGAAGCACCGGCUAACUCCGUGCCAGCAGCCGCGGUAAUUC